UUAGAGUUUGAUCCUGGCUCAGGACGAACGCUGGCGGCGUGCCUAAUACAUGCAAGUCGAACGAGGCUUUUUGAUUGAUGCUUGCAUCAGCUAAAAAGCCGAGUGGCGAAUGGGUGAGUAACACGUGGGUAACCUGCCUUGAAGCGGGGGAUAACAUUUGGAAACAGAUGCUAAUACCGCAUAACCACAAAAACCUCCUGGUUUUUGUGUCAAAGAUGGUUCUGCUAUCACUUCAAGAUGGACCCGCGGCGUAUUAGCUUGUUGGUGAGGUAACGGCCCACCAAGGCAAUGAUACGUAGCCGAACUGAGAGGUUGAUCGGCCACAUUGGGACUGAGACACGGCCCAAACUCCUACGGGAGGCAGCAGUAGGGAAUCUUCCACAAUGGACGCAAGUCUGAUGGAGCAACGCCGCGUGAGUGAAGAAGGUCUUCGGAUCGUAAAACUCUGUUGUCAGAGAAGAACGUGCGUGAGAGCAACUGUUCAUGCAGUGACGGUAUCUGACCAGAAAGUCACGGCUAACUACGUGCCAGCAGCCGCGGUAAUACGUAGGUGGCAAGCGUUGUCCGGAUUUAUUGGGCGUAAAGGGAACGCAGGCGGUCUUUUAAGUCUGAUGUGAAAGCCUUCGGCUUAACCGAAGUCGUGCAUUGGAAACUGGGGGACUUGAGUGCAGAAGAGGAGAGUGGAACUCCAUGUGUAGCGGUGAAAUGCGUAGAUAUAUGGAAAAACACCAGUGGCGAAAGCGGCUCUCUGGUCUGUAACUGACGCUGAGGUUCGAAAGCGUGGGUAGCAAACAGGAUUAGAUACCCUGAUAGUCCACGCCGUAAACGAUGAAUGCUAAGUGUUGGAGGGUUUCCGCCCUUCAGUGCCGCAGCUAACGCAUUAAGCAUUCCGCCUGGGGAGUACGAUCGCAAGAUUGAAACUCAAAGGAAUUGACGGGGGCCCGCACAAGCGGUGGAGCAUGUGGUUUGAUUCGAAGCAACGCGAAGAACCUUACCAGGUCUUGACAUCUUUUGCCAGGCUGAGAGAUCAGCUGUUCCCUUCGGGGACAAAAUGACAGGUGGUGCAUGGUUGUCGUCAGCU
rnacentral:rRNA from 1 species